rnacentral:rRNA from 2 species
UCUAAUACCGGAUAGGACCACGGGAUUCAUGUCCUGUGGUGGAAAGCUUUUGCGGUGUGGGAUGAGCCCGCGGCCUAUCAGCUUGUUGGUGGGGUAACGGCCUACCAAGGCGACGACGGGUAGCCGGCCUGAGAGGGUGUCCGGCCACACUGGGACUGAGAUACGGCCCAGACUCCUACGGGAGGCAGCAGUGGGGAAUAUUGCACAAUGGGCGCAAGCCUGAUGCAGCGACGCCGCGUGGGGGAUGACGGCCUUCGGGUUGUAAACCUCUUUCACCAUCGACGAAGGUUCGGGUUUUCUCGGAUUGACGGUAGGUGGAGAAGAAGCACCGGCCAACUACGUGCCAGCAGCCGCGGUAAUACGUAGGGUGCGAGCGUUGUCCGGAAUUACUGGGCGUAAAGAGCUCGUAGGUGGUUUGUCGCGUUGUUCGUGAAAUCUCACGGCUUAACUGUGAGCGUGCGGGCGAUACGGGCAGACUAGAGUACUGCAGGGGAGACUGGAAUUCCUGGUGUAGCGGUGGAAUGCGCAGAUAUCAGGAGGAACACCGGUGGCGAAGGCGGGUCUCUGGGCAGUAACUGACGCUGAGGAGCGAAAGCGUGGGGAGCGAACAGGAUUAGAUACCCUGGUAGUCCACGCCGUAAACGGUGGGUACUAGGUGUGGGUUUCCUUCCUUGGGAUCCGUGCCGUAGCUAACGCAUUAAGUACCCCGCCUGGGGAGUACGGCCGCAAGGCUAAAACUCAAAGGAAUUGAUCGGGGGCCCGCACAAGCGGCGGAGCAUGUGGAUUAAUUCGAUGCAACGCGAAGAACCU